AUUCUGAGCCAGGAAUGGGGUAGGACAGUGCUGAGCCUGGGCAGGCUGCUGUGCUUUCAGCACGCUUUGCUGGAUGGAUGAGACCUGGCAUUCCCAAUUAGGGCACUUGCACAAAGCGCCAGCCGGGCCGUGGCAUUGACGUGCAGCCCAGCUCCACAGCGCAGGCUCCUGCUGGCAGCUCCAAGGCAAGUGCACAUGAGGAUUUCUGUACAGCAGCAUAUGGAAAGAAUGUGGAAGGACGACUGGUUUCUCCCAGGCUUGUGAGGAGCUGCCAUCAGAAAGCAACAUAUCAAAAUGGAUGGAGUGAGUAGCAGUGUCCCAGCAAGGCAGGGAGAUGCCUGCCCACAGAGCCAGCAGCACAUCUUUUGCACCUGGCACUUCAGGCAAGCAGCAGCUGAAAGAGAACUCUGUAACAUGUCCAUAAUAGACUGCUGCUCUGCCUUCAGGAGCAAGUGGCCAUUUCAAUGGCUGCAGAUGUUUGUGCAAGAAUGGACACUGCUCGGUACCAUUCUCUGGUAAUGCCGGAGUCCUUGUAGUCAACAGCUUGAGCUCUUUAAUUCAUGAUACAGUCUUUUUGCUAAAAGGUCUCAAGGAAACACUGAUAGCUUCUGCUUUAGAUGUUCUCUGCAGAUCGUGUAAGGGAUGUGCUGGUUUAGAAGGUCACAUUGAUGUCUUAUAUUUACUUACAGUAAAGGCCUUCAUUGUAUUUUUCUGAUUCUGUCUGUCUGAAUGGAUAUGCAUGUUAGCUGUGUAGCUUGCUGAAUUCUGAACGCAGAAAAAAACCCCAAGUAUGUUAUAACUGGUUCUCAUUAAACUGCUAAAUGGAAUACUAAAAGGUAGCUUAAAAUCAGGUGCAUUUAAUAAAGUUAUAUUUGAAUUGGCA
ensembl:lncRNA